rnacentral:rRNA from 1 species
AACUAGNCGGUACUCCGAAUGCAUUCAGAUUGAUUAAAGAUCAUGGCUCAGAAUCAACGCUGGCGUGNGUGCCUAACACAUGCAAGUCGCACGAGAAAGUGGAGCAAUCCAUGAGUAAAGUGGCGCACGGGUGAGUAACACGUGAAUUAUCUACCUCCGAGUGGGGAAUAACCUGGAGAAAUCCGGGCUAAUACCGCAUAACACUUACCGAGUUCAAAAGGCCAGGCAAAUUUGGCUGGCCUUUUUGGACGGA